GCACGCGUUCUUCAUCAGAUCAGACAAACGGCACUACAAUCCUAACACGUUUACAACAGUAGACAUUUGAAGAAAGUUAAAUAACAUCUGGAAUCCAUCACCUGCAUUCUUCAACGUCUGUGUAAGUCAGGAAUCCAACCAUGAAGCUCAUCUACGUAGCAUUGCUUCUUGCCUGCUGCAUCCUCGUCGCACAGGCCAAUGAGAAGACGCCGAGCCAACAUGUGCAUGUGUCAAAACGUAAUGAGAAGACGCCGAGCCAACAUGUGCAUGUGUCAAAACGUAAUGAGAAGCCGAGCCAACAUGUGGAUGUGUCAAAACGUGAUGUCCUAAGCGAGGACGUUCAGGCAGAGAUUGCAAAAAGGAAAGUUCUUUAGUAGUCACGCAGUCAGUUCGGUAGGAAGCAGGGGUUAAGAUGGAGGAAGAGCAACGGAAUGAGUUACAAUGGACCAUAGCAUUUAUUUUUGACAGCCUCGUACAUACCAAUCUCGUUUUUUUUUUCAAAAUUGUUCAAGCAUGGUUCAAAUACUGUUAAAAAAUAAUCUGUUUGUUUAAAAAAAAGUUAACAUCGAUUUAGAGUUUACUUUUUAUAUAUUAUAAAAAAAAAUCCCGGAUCAUUUGAUACCGUUUUUAGAUUGUUCAAAAAGAAUGGGCUGCUUGUCGUUUGUAGGAAAUACCCUAAUUAUUAAUUUAUAAGUACUGUAUUCAGGACACGACACCUGGUCGGUAGAACUGUAGCAUUGGUCUCUUUAUCUUAAUAUUAUGUCCAUUUAAGCUGACAUUCCAUGUGUUUCAAUUUGUUUAAACGUGAUUGGAACUUUAUUUCAAUAAAAUGUUGAGUUCUGUCA